UGCAAACCUCUCUCCAUCCACUACUUCAUGACACAUCGUAGCUAGAUCGAUACGGCACGACGAAGCCCUGCUGGAGUAGCUCCACCACCAUCACCGCCACGCCGUCGUGCUGCCGAAGAAUUUAGCUACCUGCCUACCUCUUCGUCUCUCUUGCUCGAUCAAGAAGGCGAAGAUCGUCAUCGAGCUGUACGUGUGCUGAACGCGGAGGUGUCGUCCGUUCGGUGGAAGAUCAGGACUGAUCGUGGGACUGCGGCGAUUUGGAUCGCGAAGACGUUCCACUACAUCAACCGCAUUUCUUAAUGCUUCCCGC
rnacentral:lncRNA from 1 species